UGUGUCAGAACUCAAUCCGUCCAAUUAUUCUACAUCAUCAAAAUUCAUGAAAUCGAACCAAACUUGAGUACAUGUACAAGCAAAAAAGGUAUUAAAAAUUGAUUGAGUAAAGUUGUGUUGUGCGUCACACAUCAAUAUUGAUAAUCUUCAACAGAAAUGUUGAGACCUUGAUUUUGCCCAUAAUUAUCAGCAGUUUGACGAUGUUGUUGAGCAGGUGUUGGUAUUGUAAGAAACUGAGCAUCAAUAGCCAUGGCAGCAUCAGAGGCAACUUUUUGUACAGAUGUUGGUGACAUUCCAGGUUGAACAUUAGGCGGUAACAUGGAAGGGAAGUUUAAUUUAUGUAAAGACGAUGAUUCUGGACGGAGACAAUAAUAGGCAAUGUCAUGUGCUAUAGCUGCAGCUUCAGGGCUAGUGUAAGUACCUAGCCAAAGCCGUUCACUACUACCUGGAACUCGAAUUUCCGACACCCAUUUCCCCCAUUUUCUCCUCCGAAUCCCUCUGUAUUUUGCACCUGAACUCAUCUUUCUUCCUAAUUACUCUUAUGCUUGCUGACUGUUGUGUUGCCUUUGACAAAAAUAAAUAAAAAUAGUGUUGGUUAUUUAUAGGUUGAAGAUUGUGCAAGUCAACCCCUUAGGCCUCAUGCAUGUGGAGUGUGUGGACAUAGAAUAACCACUCAGGUCAAUGGUCAAAUUAAAAUAGGUUGAAGCACUAUGGACUAGCUUUUGAUCCAUUCAAGGGGGG
rnacentral:lncRNA from 1 species